CCCUUAGAUGUUCUGGGCUGCACGCGCGCUACACUGAAGGAGGCAGCGUGUACUCCUGGAUCGAAAGAUUUGGGUAACCCGCGAAUCUCCUUCGUGCUAGGGAUUGAGGUUUGCAAUUAUCCUUCAUGAACGAGGAAUUCCCAGUAAGUGCAAGUCAUAAGCUUGCGCUGACUACGUCCCUGCCCUUUGUACACACCGCCCGUCGCUACUACCGAUUGAAUGAUUUAGUGAGGACUUCGGACUGGGACCGAUGCGGCUUUCGGGCUGCGUCGGUAUUCUGGAAAGAUGUCCAAACUGUAUCAUUUAGAGGAAGUAAAAGUCGUANCA
rnacentral:rRNA from 1 species